UCAACGUGUACUCAUUUUCGUUUUCUUUUCUCCAUUAUUUAUUUCAUUUAUUUAUUUAUUUAAUUAAUUGCAUUCUUUGUUUUCAGUGUUAACUCACUUAAAUUUAUGCUAUUUUUGAGGUUACCUUUUUCGCAGAAUUCUUUUUGUCCUUCCCAAAAUAUAUAAAAAUUGUCUGAAAUUUUCAAUUUUGGAUAAACCAAUAAUCCAAUUUCAGGAAUAAAUGGCGGCGAAUCCGAAACCGUUGCAAUCGCGGCCGUACGAAGGGGAGGAGGUUCCGAUUCCGGUUGACGGAGAAGAUUCCGGCGAAUCAGACGGCGAUGAUUCGAUGGAUGACGACGGCGUUGAUGAAGAUCAGACGAGGAUAGAGAGUGGAGGUGUGGGUCCCAGUAGUAGUAGGAGGACUAACGAGCUCACCUUGUCUUUCGAAGGGGAGGUCUUUGUGUUCCCUGCUAUCACCCCUGAAAAGGUUCAAGCAGUGCUCUUACUCCUUGGGGAACGUGAUUUUCACGCUGGAGUUCCAACAGCCGAGGUUUCUUGUGGGCAAGAUAAUCGGGUCACUGGAAGCCCUGCAAGGAAAUCCAUUAUUUCCCACCGGGUAGCUUCCUUAGUUAGGUUUCGGGAGAAAAGAAAAGAGAGAUGUUUUGAUAACAAAAUCAGGUAUACAAUACGAAAGGAGGUUGCUGAAAGGAUGCACCGGAAGAAUGGCCAAUUCGCAUCGUUGAGAGAAGAUUCAGCAUCAUCCAAUUUGGAAGCUAAGAAGAAUUUACUGGUUGGUGCUGCUUUGGGGCCGGAAACUGUUUUACACAAGUGCCAGCAUUGUGGUGUUAGUGAAAAUGAUACACCAGCAAUGCGACGUGGACCAUCUGGUCCAAGGACCUUAUGUAAUGCUUGCGGACUGAUGUGGGCCAACAAGGGAACACUGAGAAAUUUAAGUAAAGGAAGAAGAAAUUUCAUAUUGGAUCAAGCUGAACCUGGAACCCCGGUUGAUAGUAAACCUUCCAUUGUUGAAGAAAAUUCACUUGCCAACCCGAGUAAGCUUAGAACGCCAAAAGGUGAUUCCGGUGCUGUAACCAUAGCCUAUAUCAAUUCCUUAGUCAAACCCCAUAAGGAGAAUUCUCAUGGAAUAGAAGACGAUACUAGCAUGCUAACGGAGAUAGCUGUGGAUUCGUCAGGAAACUUUGACAAAGAUGUACUGUAUAACUGAUACUCUGGCUGAGCUUGAUAAUAGUUCCGAGACAGACGUGGAUAUUCCCACCAACAGUGAUUAGUAGACAUGCAUCAAAUACUCGUAAAACAGUAGGUAGUACACAUUAUUAUUACCUCAAAAAAUGAGAAUGAACUUGAAAUCUAGUGUGGAACAUCAGGGAUUCAAGGGCAUCUGCUGAUGCUACUUGCAAUGUCAAUCGACUAGCCUCGAUUUUUUAAUGUUUGGUUAGCAUUAGCUUAUUGGAGUGAUUGCUUCUAUAUAUAUCUGAACUACAGGUCUCCUGAAUUACAGGAGUUGUAACUUUAUAUUGUAGAUAAUGUUUGUAUUAUGAGAUCAGAAAACCAGUAACGCAGUUUGUAUUGUGCUCGGUUUUCUGGAAAUACUGGUAUAUGAUAAUAAUAAUAGUAAUAAUUUUAAGGUUAAAUUUCAGAGUGGGAUUUCCUUAUAUGCA